rnacentral:rRNA from 1 species
GAACUGAAGAGUUUGAUCAUGGCUCAGAUUGAACGCUGGCGGCAGGCCUAACACAUGCAAGUCGAGCGGAUGAAGGGAGCUUGCUCCUGGAUUCAGCGGCGGACGGGUGAGUAAUGCCUAGGAAUCUGCCUGGUAGUGGGGGAUAACGUCCGGAAACGGGCGCUAAUACCGCAUACGUCCUGAGGGAGAAAGUGGGGGAUCUUCGGACCUCACGCUAUCAGAUGAGCCUAGGUCGGAUUAGCUAGUUGGUGGGGUAAAGGCCUACCAAGGCGACGAUCCGUAACUGGUCUGAGAGGAUGAUCAGUCACACUGGAACUGAGACACGGUCCAGACUCCUACGGGAGGCAGCAGUGGGGAAUAUUGGACAAUGGGCGAAAGCCUGAUCCAGCCAUGCCGCGUGUGUGAAGAAGGUCUUCGGAUUGUAAAGCACUUUAAGUUGGGAGGAAGGGCAGUAAGUUAAUACCUUGCUGUUUUGACGUUACCAACAGAAUAAGCACCGGCUAACUUCGUGCCAGCAGCCGCGGUAAUACGAAGGGUGCAAGCGUUAAUCGGAAUUACUGGGCGUAAA